CUGCCCCAGGAGAAUUUAAGGAACUUUGUUAUGCGCUUACCGUAAAUUCUUUUCAAGAUUGCAUGUUGUUUAAAAAUUGGGAAGGAGUAGCCGCUUCAAGAGAAAAACUUAUUGAACAUUUUCAAAAUUUAUUUCGACCCGAGUUCGAUCCGGACGAUUUAAUUCUUCCAGCUUCACGGUUAAAGUCUCUUAUUCGUCAUGCGUGCGCCUAUCAAAUAGAGUUUAGCCGCUAUCAACCAUUAGUAGAUCCCAAAAU